rnacentral:rRNA from 1 species
AACGAACGCUGGCGGCAUGCCUAACACAUGCAAGUCGAUCGAGACCUUCGGGUCUAGUGGCGCACGGGUGCGUAACGCGUGGGAACCUGCCUUUAGGUUCGGAAUAACUCAGAGAAAUUUGAGCUAAUACCGGAUGAUGUCUUCGGACCAAAGAUUUAUCGCCUUUAGAUGGGCCCGCGUUGGAUUAGCUAGUUGGUGGGGUAAAGGCCUACCAAGGCGACGAUCCAUAGCUGGUCUGAGAGGAUGAUCAGCCACACUGGGACUGAGACACGGCCCAGACUCCUACGGGAGGCAGCAGUGGGGAAUAUUGGACAAUGGGCGAAAGCCUGAUCCAGCAAUGCCGCGUGAGUGAUGAAGGCCUUAGGGUUGUAAAGCUCUUUUACCCGAGAUGAUAAUGACAGUAUCGGGAGAAUAAGCUCCGGCUAACUCCGUG